GAUAAAAUAAAUGACAUAUUACAAUAGGCGUAAUCUUUUGUAAGCGAGCGACAAACAGAACACUCGUUUAAAUGUCCAUUUACACGCGAAACAACAACACAACUCUAGUAAUAUAUACGAGUUAAUUUCAACUCGUAUAAUGAUAGACGACUUGGAUCGGUAUGCUGCCAAGUUCAAUUAUUGCACCAUUAUGAAUGAUUCUGGAAGGAUGGAAAAAACUACAUGAAGGAGGUGGACACGGGAGGAAUCUGAGGGUUUUUGGCGGCGCUACUUGGCUCGCAAAGCCGAAUGUGAGCACCCAAACAAAAAGCGUCAGGCAUACGCUAAAACACUUGAGGAUAUGAUAUCCGUAGGCAUUACGGAUUCUGGGAGGGGAGGAUGCGCACUUUGCUGCAAGCUUAUAAGGCAGCACGCGACAACAACAACCGCACAGGUUCUUCUCCGUGUUUCGCCCCGUACAUGGAGCUAAUGGAUGAGAUAUUUGGGAUCAGCACCAAUAUAUCUAACUCCCAUACACUGCAAUUGCGGGAGGGCCCUGUGCAAAUGUUAGGGGAGAAUUCGCCCAUACCGGCACCCUCAACUCCGCUAUCACAGCAGUCCCCAAACUCGUCAACAUUAUCGUCCCUGUCACAGUCGCCACUCCCCUCAAUAUCAUGUCCAUCAAUGUCUCCACUCCUGCUAAAAGGAAACGUUCGGCGCGCGAACUUUAUUAUGACGAAAAAUUGAAGCUAAAGUAAAAACCAUUUGAACAAAACAAGCAACAACGAGAAGAAAAGUUUGCAGCAAUGCAGGACGAAGCAGAAAUUGGAAAAGGACAGGUAAGUGGAAUUGAAAAAACUGCAAUUACUAGAAUAUAUUAUAAACAAAAUGUAAUUGAUUUAUUAUUUAAACUAUGUUCACAUUACGGCGUAAAUUACUUUGUUUCGAUCAAAUUACUUCACAUAAAUCAAGUAAGUUCACAUUUUCUUGUAUAAAUUCUAUAGCAUUUCGUACGAGUGCGUGGUUUGCACUUGAUUUCAAAAAACAAAUGGUUGCAUAGCUUUAGGAAUUUUUUUCAAAUUUCCCUAAAGCUGCCUUUACAUGAGGUGAUUUUUUGACAGACGAUAAUCGCCGGCAAAAGUUGACUUGCUGUCUACUUUGAGGCAAGCGAUUUUUGAAUAACCAUUUCCACGAGCGAUUUUUCCAGAGCAAUGUUGAAUCGCCUGGAAAAUCGCCUCAUGUAAAGGCA